GAAAAGGCUGGGUUAUACCCUUAGGAAACCUAUUUGUUUCUUGGCUCCCUGCAGGGGCAUGCACACUAGCAAAGGCUCAAUCCCUUCAUUAUUCAUUUGAUCACAAAAGAAGGAAUGAGAGGAAAAAUACUUUUAUUUUUCACCAAGCAAUCACCAAGCGCAGUUUCAUCCACAGGUAAAGGAACCCAAGCUGGGCCCAAUGCCAAGUGCACUUCUUCAAUGUUACAUUCUGGGACAGGAGAGAGGAUCACUGGUUGAGCCUACCUACUCUGUGGACACAUUGUAAUCCUGAAACUGUUCUGAGCUUCCAUUCAUGGCCAGGACACCUGAUCACUUCAUCGUUGGGUUCUGUGUUUGAAAACUGGGCCAGCUCUGAACCUGGGUGACAGAACACACUGUGGAGAAACCUUGUCUCUAGGAUCUUGCUCAUACACUCUUGGCUCCUCUUGCUCUGGUGGAGCUCCUCAGUGCCCACUGGGAAAGUGAUCUGGCUCCCAAGACCACCAGCCUGUUCAAGUCAUGGAUGGCACCAGUUUUCACAGGCUGAGUGAUUAGAAAACAGACUCUGGGACAGCUGUGUACAUAAGAGUCAUCUGGGCAUUGCUCUUACAAUCCCUGUAGAAGACAAGAGCUCAGAAGCUGACAUAUGAGACUCUGUCGCUCAAAGCCGUGGUUCCCACCUGGAGUGGAAGAGGAAGCAGCGAAACAAGCAGGCAAGUUCAGAGACUCUGAGCUGCUUACGCCCUGGAAGUGCUGCGUGGACUUGGAGAGCAACUUCCUGCAGACUUCCUGUUAGAGAAGAGGACUGGACGUUCAGCUGUGGCUAGAGCAGACCUUCCUUCAGCUUUGUUAUCUGAAGCCCAAAGCCUUCCUACCCAAUGCCAUUGGUUCAAAUCAUGUUUGCUUGUUUGUUUGUUUGAGACAAACUAUUAAGCACUGGUUUACCUGAGACUUUCUAAAUAUCUAAGUACACACGAAGCUAUCCUCAAACGCAGGAAGUUUUUUGACUAAUACAAGGAAUAGCAGAUAUUUUAUCUUUCUCCUUUUCUCAUUUCUCAUUAUGAGAGGGAGAGUGUGCGAGAGCUCUCACUGACACAUGAGGGGGUGUGCAUUCAUGUGGGUCUCGUUGGCCCUGGGUGUCUCCUGUCCUGCCUCUGCUUCUCAAGUACUGGGAUUAAAGGUGUGCACCACCAUGUGUAAUCCAAAA
rnacentral:lncRNA from 1 species